GUGGAUUAGAUACCCUGGUAGUCCAUGCCGUAAACGUUGGGCGCUAGGUGUGGGACUCAUUCCACGAGUUCCGUGCCGCAGCUAACGCAUUAAGCGCCCCGCCUGGGGAGUACGGCCGCAAGGCUAAAACUCAAAGGAAUUGACGGGGGCCCGCACAAGCGGCGGAGCAUGCGGAUUAAUUCGAUGCAACGCGAAGAACCUUACCAAGGCUUGACAUAUACCGGAAACAUCCAGAGAUGGGUGCCCCUUUUGGUCGGUAUACAGGUGGUGCAUGGUGGUAGCCAGCU
rnacentral:rRNA from 1 species